UAUAUAUAGAGACAGAGAGAGAGAGGGUGUACAGUACGGUUAUCUUACAAACCAGCAUUAAAAGAGGUGUAAAUAUUAAUAAUUACUGAAAAAACAUUGUAAAAAUGUCAGUAUCAAAAGCAAUGGCGGGCUUAGAUGUGGUCAGUUUCUGCCAUUCCUUAAAAAGAGUCUCAAAGAGCUUAAUCUCCAAACAACAUCAUACAUGAACCACCCACUGCAUAACCUUACAGCGAUACAAGAAGUCAAACUAACCGACAACAACUGUCCGUUGUCUGGAAAAGAGGAUGAAUGUCAAAACGAUGAGGAGGUGCGGUACCUUAUUUAUAUCUAGCGAAGGUUCGGUUUUCACAGUGAUUUUCCCAUUAGAGUAGCAGCGAGCGGGAGCCCAGAGAAAAUCUCCAAAAUCCCCUUUCUGAGAAAUUGACAGGAAUAUCGGCGCGAAAUGUCUGAAACAUAAGGCUUAUUAUAAGGUCAAUGCUAAAAGCAACAGAGAGAGCUUAAAGUUUCACAUUUUUAAUACAACCCACGAUUAGAACGAUGUAGUGUUUGCACCGAAACAAUGCCCUGAAUGCUGUGUUGCGACAAAGCAAUGUGUUUCACAGCUGAAAAGACAAUACGACUCCUCUUCCCCACUGUAUUCGAAAUCACAGACAGUACGUCUUUAUUAUUUAUGGGUCAAGUCACUUCCACAGGUCUUAAUUAGCCCAAGUUACAAUUAUUUCGGCCGAACAGUCAGCGGCCUUUACCACACAAACACAUGUGCGUAUGAACGUGCCUAAACACAAACACACACAUAAACUGGCCAUGUAAAAAGUCAGUCACUGGUUGAUCUUGUCCUAAUCAACGUGAAACAUAAAACGGAAUGCUAUGACAAUUCCCACC